GUGGGGAAUAUUGGGCAAUGGGCGAAAGCCUGACCCAGCAACGCCGCGUGAAGGAAGAAGGUCUUCGGAUCGUAAACUUCUAUCCUUGGUGAAGAUAAUGACGGUAGCCGAGAAGGAAGCCCCGGCUAACUACGUGCCAGCAGCCGCGGUAAUACGUAGGGGGCAAGCGUUGUCCGGAAUGAUUGGGCGUAAAGGGCGCGUAGGCGGCCCGGUAAGUCUGAAGUGAAAGUCCUGCUUUUAAGGUGGGAAUUGCUUUGGAUACUGUCGGGCUUGAGUGCAGGAGAGGUAAGCGGAAUUCCCGGUGUAGCGGUGAAAUGCGUAGAGAUCGGGAGGAACACCAGUGGCGAAGGCGGCUUACUGGACUGUAACUGACGCUGAGGCGCGAAAGUGUGGGGAGCAAACAGGAUUAGAAACCCCGGUAGUCC
rnacentral:rRNA from 1 species